rnacentral:rRNA from 1 species
UACGGGGGGGGCAAGCGUUGUUCGGAAUUACUGGGCGUAAAGGGCUUGUAGGUGGCCAACUAAGUCAGACGUGAAAUCCCUCGGCUUAACCGGGGAACUGCGUCUGAUAUUGGAUGGCUUGAGUUUGGGAGAGGGAUGCGGAAUUCCAGGUGUAGCGGUGAAAUGCGUAGAUAUCUGGAGGAACACCGGUGGCGAAGGCGGCAUCCUGGACCAAUACUGACACUGAAAAGCGAAAGCCAGGGGAGCAAACGGG